rfam:Ictidomys tridecemlineatus contig058585, whole genome shotgun sequence.
GUAGAUGUAGUUCAGUGGUAGAACAUUUGCCUAGCAGGUAAAAGGUCCUGGGUUCCAUCCCCAGCACCACA